GAUGAACGCUAGCUACAGGCUUAACACAUGCAAGUCGAGGGGCAUCAGGAAGAAAGCUUGCUUUCUUUGCUGGCGACCGGCGCACGGGUGAGUAACACGUAUCCAACCUGCCCUUUACUCGGGGAUAGCCUUUCGAAAGAAAGAUUAAUACCCGAUGGCAUAAUGAUUCCGCAUGGUUUCAUUAUUAAAGGAUUCCGGUAAAGGAUGGGGAUGCGUUCCAUUAGGCAGUUGGCGGGGUAACGGCCCACCAAACCUACGAUGGAUAGGGGUUCUGAGAGGAAGGUCCCCCACAUUGGAACUGAGACACGGUCCAA
rnacentral:rRNA from 1 species